GCCCCUCUAAAUUUUAAAAUAAUAAAAAGAAAUGAAACUCUCUCUCACACUCCCCCGUAUAACCCAUCUUCUCUGGUGUGCUCUCUCUUUUGCUCUCCCUAACCCUAAAGCAUAGCUCCGGUGAAGAUGACGUCGUCGUGCCGAAGAACCACCUAUCGCUCCCCAAGAAACCCUCUCCCACCUCCUAGGGCUCUGAUCCCGCCGGCAACCUUGCCAACGCAUGCCAUGAGUUCGGCGAGCACGGCGGCGUCAAUAUGUCGAUUGCGGCCUCGGUGACCUUCACCGUCAUCAAUCCUGAAACUAUGCGCCAGAUGUUCACCGGCAAGCUCGGCCCUGAUCUUGAUUUCUUCAUUUAUAGCCGCCAUUACAACCCAAUAGACUUCAAUCUUGGCCGCUGCCCUAGAGUCUACCGAGGCAGCGUACUGCACGUCCAGUGGUAUGUGCGCUAUCUCCUCCUCUCUCCUCCAUCUUUGCCCUACCAGUUCCCACAUCAUCGCUUCUCACUGCCUCUACGGCGACACCCACGCCCUCCUCUUCCGCUUCUUCCCCCGAUCCUGCUCGAUUUGCACCACCUUCGUUGACAUCUCCAACAUUGACGAGGUUCGUGACGCGAUCUGCAUCGGUGACACCAAGGUCUUGUACAUGGAGACCGUAUCCAACCCCACUCUAUCGUCGUCGAUGUACUGACGCUGAUCUGAUCGUGCUGCUCGUGCGCCACUUUUCUCGUUAAUUUCAGUUUAACAGAAGAAUUAGGAGGAAAAAGGAGGGCAUUGAUCCAAUGAAGCUUUCGAGGAAAAAGGAGCUUGUGCACCUUGGGUAUGGUUAUCUCAGUCAAAUAAAUUUUGGUGAUUACUCUUCUGUUCCUUUGAUUGCAUUAUUCAACAAAAUUUUUUUAUAAUUUUUUACCUCUAGUUAUGCUUUGGCUUUGAUAUUAUUAUUUUGUUUCUUAUAUAUCGAUGUCUAGUCUCAAGGUCUAGAGAAGUAUACGCUUGUUAUUUUGUGUGAGUGGAGUUGGAUUGUGGGUCUCCCAGUCUAAGAUUUAUUGGAGUGACCUAGGACCAGUAUCCACAUUCCUAUCAUUAUUUGUAUUUGAUUACUAGCAUUCUAAAGGAUCCGUUUUUGAAUUUUUUUAAAUUUAUUUUAGUAAGAUCAAAUUUCAAAAGGAAGUGGUGUGAUCAUUAAAACAGACAUGCCGCCUCCUGAUGUUAGAUCUGUAAUGCUUUUUUUUUUUUGAUAAAACUGUACUUAUAUUUUUAGGGUAUUCUUAUUGUCUUUGAGAGAGGAACAAGGAAGACUUCCCUUGCAUUGGCCAUAGCUACAGAGGCUAAAGUUCCUGUUGUUGUGAUCAAAGCUUAGCAACUAAAGGUUGGAUUAUGGGUUGGUCAGAGUGCUUCAAAUGUUAGAUAACUUUUCUAGACAGCUAGGGAUUUGGUUUCCCUCUUUUCUUUGUCUUUGUUAUAUAUAUAUAUAUAUAUAUUUCUAUGGUUUAUCUAUCAAAACAUAUUUACAGAUAGACAAGGCAUGAGUAUUGCAGAAUGAAAAUUUUCUUUUUCUUUUUUAUGUGCCUUAGUAUUUGAAAAUAGUUUUGAGCAUCAAGGCUCCUUAAAUUGGAUAAGGUUCUCUUUCAGAGAAUAAACAUCAAAUAUCUGCUUGUUGACAACUUAUUAUUUCAUUGCAGUAGAUGCAUAUAAUACUUUAUUCAUAAACAGUGUAUUUUUGGGAAGAAUUGAUUAAUAUUAAUCUCCAUCAAAGGUUUUUUGAUGUGCUUAAAUCAUUUCUUUCUUGAUACAUGUUUUUUCUUUGAAAAUUUUACUAUCUUAACUAUUAUGAUUUUUUUAAAAUCAUGCUAUUACUUCUAAUAUUAAUUCAAUUUAUUUAUGGUUGUAUGUUUCUUUUUCUGUAUAAUGAUAUAAUUUAGAUUUCUAGAAGCUAAUGCUCUUUACUAUGUGCAAUGUAAUUUUACACCUAGUUGUAUUCAAGAAUUCAUGCGAAUUAUCCUUGGUUCAAUCCACAGACACUUGCUUCCAAAUAGUUUGUGCCAUUAUCCUUCAUUCCACAUGCGAUGAUGCGAAUUGGCUGGAAUGUGUCCUUGUGAUUGUGAAAGUAGCUUCUCUUAUAAUAUUUAGGAAGUUGUGUUGUAUUUCCAUGUCUUUUGUGCAGGUUACUAAAAAAAUAAUCUUUCCUCUCUUUAUAACGAAUAUUAUGUGCAUUAGCUUCAGAUUGCUACUUGGAUGGUGAUCCAAUAUGGAUGGGGUCCUGAUGGCUGGUCCUGGUGUUUACAUCACUAACAAUGCGAUACUGAGCUACUCCCAGAAGCCUUUGUUUUAGCCCAAAUAACUGUCAAAAUGAGAGAGGUUGAAUUCAUAUAUAUAUAUGUAUGUAUGUAUUUAUAUAUAGAAGUAUUUUCCUUGAUUUGAAACUUCCAAUCAUCAUAUAGCUCAUGCAAUCUGAUUGCAAUUUUAUAGCACAUCUCUUACAAGUUCUAAAAUAUAAUUUCCUUUAUUGUUUGAAAAUUAGCAUAUUGACUUUGUAGGCUAAUUCAUAUGCUAUUUGCUCUUAUCAUAUCUUCCUUAUUUAUCUUUAAUUUAGUUCGGAACACUGAGUAUGGGGAAGGACCAUGAGUUGGAGAUGGCUGCUAAAGUUGAGAAGGUGCAUCGCGUUGUUUCAGGCAGACUAUGGUCAAUGGUUUUUUUAAAAUUAUUAUAAAUUAAAUGUAAAUCAAUUAGUUUGUGGCUUCUUGAAUUUGUCCAAUGUAAUUACAGAUUAAGAUAAGUCUUUUUUGGUUUAAAAUGAUAUCAUGUUAUUAAUCAUUGAGUUUGAAUGGGUGCUUUUUUUCCAGAUAUAGGCCUUGGGCUAUGACAAGGCAAAAGAGAUGCUUGAGAAAAACCGGCAUGUCCUUGAAACUAUUGCGGAGCAAUUGCUUGAGUUUGAAAACUUGAACGGAGAGGAGAAUUCAUGGUUAAAGAUGGAGAUGGUUGAAGAUGAAGA